rnacentral:rRNA from 1 species
UACGUAGGUGGCAAGCGUUGUCCGGAAUUAUUGGGCGUAAAGCGCGCGCAGGCGGUCCUUUAAGUCUGAUGUGAAAGCCCACGGCUCAACCGUGGAGGGUCAUUGGAAACUGGGGGACUUGAGUGCAGAAGAGGAAAGCGGAAUUCCACGUGUAGCGGUGAAAUGCGUAGAGAUGUGGAGGAACACCAGUGGCGAAGGCGGCUUUCUGGUCUGUAACUGACGCUGAGGCGCGAAAGCGUGGGGAGCGAACCGG